UACAAUUCACAGCUUUAACAUAAUGAAGUCAGGAGCUAUUGUGCUUUUUCUAUUCUUUUUGCUUUCGGUGGAUUUUUCUAAGGCCGAUUCAGCGCCAACCUUACCACAGAACACAACAAUACAAGAAAAUGUUAGCGAACUCUUAGAAACUAAGGAUAAACAUAUUAGUGAUCUUUUGUCAAUAGUUAGAAUAAAAGAUGAUCGUUUGGAAAAAAAGAUGAAGAAAUUCAAAAUCUUUUGGAUCAAAUUAAAGAAAAAGACGUACUAAUUUGGAAACUACGUGCAGAAGGAAAUGUUAAAGACGAAAUUAUAAGAGUCAGAACCGAGCAAGUAGCAUUCCUACUACAUUAAUUAAUGGGAACUAAAAAUACAUAAUUGUAAAGGAUUUUACUAGUAUAAAACGUUUAAAAAAAACCCAUUGAAGAAAGCAAUUACUGUUUGGCAAAGAUCACUACAUGCCUAACAAUAAAUAUAUGCGUUAACCUUUUAAUUAGCCUUAAAUACAAUUUAACGAAUGUCACAGAAACAAAUGAAUAAAUAAUUGUUUAAAAAUACUACAGAUUCAACUCGAGUUUAGGCCCAUAAAUCGCUUUGUAAGAAGCAGUAACAAAAAUUGUAAUUCAAAUCUAGACCAAAAAACUUCUUAUCGCAAAUAAUGUCACGUCUUAACUACAUGCUAAGCAAAUAUGCUUAUGCGCCUAAGAUUGUAUAGAUGUUAAACUUAAUUAAAAAUACUUGGGACAAAAAAAAAUUUUUUUAAUCCCAUAUAAAAGCCAUGCAGCUCUAAAAUUGAUGGAUAAUUACAUAUAUUAAAAAUAAAUGAACAAGCUUUCAAGGAAAAUAAGCUGUAAAGAA